rnacentral:rRNA from 1 species
UUCCGGUUGAUCCCGCCGGAAGCCACUGCUAUUGGGGUCCGAUUAAGCCAUGCAAGUCGAACGUUCUUCGGAACGUGGCAAACGGCUCAGUAACACGUGGAUAACCUACCCUUAGGACCGGGAUAACCCUGGGAAACUGNGGAUAAUACCGGAUAUAUGGAGAUACCUGGAAUGGUUCUCCACUUAAAGCUCCGGCGCCUAAGGAUGGAUCUGCGGCAGAUUAGGUAGUUGGUGGGGUAAUGGCCCACCAAGCCUUUGAUCUGUACGGGUUGUGAGAGCAAGAGCCCGGAGAUGGAACCUGAGACAAGGUUCCAGGCCCUACGGGGCGCACAGGCGCGAAACCUCCGCAAUGCGAACAAUCGCGACGGGGGGACCCCAAGUGCCACUCUUAACGGGGUGGCUUUUCUUAAGUGUAAAAAGCUUUUGGAAUAAGGGCUGGGCAAG